rnacentral:rRNA from 1 species
UACGUAGGGGGCAAGCGUUGUCCGGAAUCAUUGGGCGUAAAGAGCGUGUAGGCGGCCCGGUAAGUCCGCUGUGAAAGUCCAGGGCUCAACCCUGGGAUGCCGGUGGAUACUGUCGGGCUCGAGUCCGGAAGAGGAGUGUGGAAUUCCCGGUGUAGCGGUGAAAUGCGUAGAGAUCGGGAGGAAUACCAGUGGCGAAGGCGGCUUUCUGGACUGACACUGACGCUGAGGCGCGAAAGCCAGGGGAGCAAACGGG